rfam:Cucumis melo, WGS project CAJI01000000 data, contig: 04601
AUACUUACCUGGACGGGGUUAUUGGGCGAUCAAGAAGGCCCAUGGCCUGGGUUGGUGGCCUCCAUUGCACAAUGAGGAGGGGUGCCAGCCUAAGGUCUGCUCAAAGUAGCAGAGCCUACGUCAUUAUUUGUUGCUGUGGGGGCCUGCGUUCGCGCGGCCCCUAC